CUCUUAUCAAGAGUGGUGGAGGGACUGGCCCGAUGAAACCCGGCAACCGGCAUUUAUAUGCGUCUGGUGCCAAAUCCUGCAGGUUAGGGUGUCUAACCUGAGAGAUGAGAG
rnacentral:ncRNA from 2 species